CUUUGGCAAGCAUGUGAUGUUUGGGCAAGAUCUUUUUGGAUGUUGUGUCACAUGAAGGAUGAGACAGACCCUGUUCUCAGAUGCAAUUAGAUGCUCCAUCCCAGGUGGAGCUAGAAAAUAAAACAUAUGGGAAAAGGAUUAUGCCUGUCACACGCUGCCAAGCUGAUUUUAUACAGCAACAGCUCUACAGGGAAAGUUUCACUUCCAGUUCUCCCGGGAAGCCAAUCUGAGACUGAGAGCCAGAAAGCCUGAGUUGCGCUCCCCACAUCUGCAAGGCAUUUAACCUCCGGUUCCUCUUCUUCAUCUUCCAUGUAAUUGGUUUAACCACACUUCCCUGCCUCGCUCUGGGUGAUGCAGGGUUAAUUAAUGUGCAGAAAGUCCUUCAGAUUGUUGGAUUGACAUAGUACACUGGCAACAUAAUUUCUCAAAUCCACUGUUGCCUUGAAAACCUGGGUAUUUCCAUUCAGUUCAAGGGGAUCCUCACAGAAGACCUACUGAGAUCACUUUAAGUGACAUUACUUCCUAGUUAAUUCAAUUAUUUAAACUUUAAAAGUAAACGGAAGAUUAAUAUUGCAUGUUGUCCUUCACUUGAAAUCGUUACUGUCUUAUGUUUUAUGAACUGAGAGUGUUACAGAAGCAGCUGAUUUCUGCCUCCAUGGGGAAGAGCCAUGCUUAUAAUUGACAGUGUUAUACAUGGGAUCAGGUUGCUGGUACAAUUCUUGUCAUUUUAAUUUGAUCUGCCAUGAUAGGGCUCAUAGACUGAUUGGCAUUUCUGAAUACUUCUGUAAUAUGAAUAAUAAUUAUAAAAACUCAGACAAAGAAUCAUAUUCCAGUAUCUUUUCUGAAAGAGUUAUCUCUGGGCCUGUCAAUUCAUUUGGAGGAAUUUCUUGGAAAAGUAAACACCAAAGAGAUGUGAACAUAGUAAAAAAUAUAUGUAUAUAUAAAUUCAUUUAAGUAUUCAGAUGGAUAUUUGUAGGAAGCACGUUUCAAUUUCAUUCAGCUUUACAAACAGGAUUACAUGAGUAAUCUUCAAGCAAUAUAAGGAUAAAUCAUUCUGGAAAAAGCCCCCGAUGUUUUAGGCACCAGCAAGCUUUCGCUUGCUAGCAGGCACACAUUGCUUCUGGCCCACCUCUUUUGCAGCAGACAAAAUACAAGGAAAAUCUCAAUCUUUCUUUAGGCCCAAAUUUGCUAUAAUCCUGAUGAAUAUGCAUUUUAUAUGUAAUUCCAGAUGCAAGUUUAGAUUCCUGCAUCUUUAAGUCGAAACAACGAAGUUAAAAUGUCACAUCCAUAUGUAUCCAUAUGUAUGCAUGUUUUUUCUUUUUCUUUUUUUUUUUCCUUGUAAAAUCUCACCUUUCCAAUAUGCUCAUUGAACUCCAUUUGUCAGUUUGGGCUGUGUGGCUGUGAGUCCUUCAGAUCCUGUUGUCCUUCUGCAGAGUUGGAGUCUUGGCAGUUCUCUCUGACAAGGACCUGCUACAGUUCCUCCUGUGCUUGGUCCUGUGA